ACCCCCUGUGACUUCUACCAUUUACUGUUGCUUCGGCGGGUCACGGCCCCGGGGAAGGACAGCGGUCGCCGUCAGGCCUCCGCUGCCCGCCCCCGGAAACAGGCGCCCGCCGGGGAACUCAAACUCUUCUGUAUUUCUUUAUCUAAUAUAUACUGUCUGAGUAAAAACUAAAAUGAAUCAAAACUUUCAACAACGGAUCUCUUGGUUCUGGCAUCGAUGAAGAACGCAGCGAAAUGCGAUAAGUAAUGUGAAUUGCAGAAUUCAGUGAAUCAUCGAAUCUUUGAACGCACAUUGCGCCCGCCAGUAUUCUGGCGGGCAUGCCUGUUCGAGCGUCAUUUCAACCCUCAAGUCCCCUGUGGACUC
rnacentral:misc_RNA from 1 species